rnacentral:pre_miRNA from 1 species
UGGGGUGGGGCCAGGGACAGCUUGGGCCUGCCUAGUCGGCCUGACCACCCACCCCACA